GGACUGGGCAGUGUGCGGAGCUCAAGGUGCAUUUCUCAAGGUUGCCUGGGUAAGAGUGGACCCAGUGGGAAUCAUUAGAGAGAAGUUGCCUAGGUAGCAA